rnacentral:rRNA from 1 species
GUUAAGCGACUAAGCGUACACGGUGGAUGCCCUGGCAGUCAGAGGCGAUGAAGGACGUGCUAAUCUGCGAUAAGCGUCGGUAAGGUGAUAUGAACCGUUAUAACCGGCGAUUUCCGAAUGGGGAAACCCAGUGUGAUUCGUCACACUAUCAUUAACUGAAUCCAUAGGUUAAUGAGGCGAACCGGGGGAACUGAAACAUCUAAGUACCCCGAGGAAAAGAAAUCAACCGAGAUUCCCCCAGUAGCGGCGAGCGAACGGGGAGCAGCCCAGAGCCUGAAUCAGUGUGUGUGUUAGUGGAAGCGUCUGGAAAGGCGCGCGAUACAGGGUGACAGCCCCGUACACAAAAAUGCACAUACUGUGAGCUCGAUGAGUAGGGCGGGACACGUGGUAUCCUGUCUGAAUAUGGGGGGACCAUCCUCCAAGGCUAAAUACUCCUGACUGACCGAUAGUGAACCAGUACCGUGAGGGAAAGGCGAAAAGAACCCCGGCGAGGGGAGUGAAAAAGAACCUGAAACCGUGUACGUACAAGCAGUGGGAGCACGCUUAGGCGUGUGACUGCGUACCUUUUGUAUAAUGGGUCAGCGACUUAUAUUCUGUAGCAAGGUUAACCGAAUAGGGGAGCCGAAGGGAAACCGAGUCUUAACUGGGCGUUAAGUUGCAGGGUAUAGACCCGAAACCCGGUGAUCUAGCCAUGGGCAGGUUGAAGGUUGGGUAACACUAACUGGAGGACCGAACCGACUAAUGUUGAAAAAUUAGCGGAUGACUUGUGGCUGGGGGUGAAAGGCCAAUCAAACCGGGAGAUAGCUGGUUCUCCCCGAAAGCUAUUUAGGUAGCGCCUCGUGAAUUCAUCUCCGGGGGUAGAGCACUGUUUCGGCAAGGGGGUCAUCCCGACUUACCAACCCGAUGCAAACUGCGAAUACCGGAGAAUGUUAUCACGGGAGACACACGGCGGGUGCUAACGUCCGUCGUGAAGAGGGAAACAACCCAGACCGCCAGCUAAGGUCCCAAAGUCAUGGUUAAGUGGGAAACGAUGUGGGAAGGCCCAGACAGCCAGGAUGUUGGCUUAGAAGCAGCCAUCAUUUAAAGAAAGCGUAAUAGCUCACUGGUCGAGUCGGCCUGCGCGGAAGAUGUAACGGGGCUAAACCAUGCACCGAAGCUGCGGCAGCGACGCUUAUGCGUUGUUGGGUA